UACGUAGGGGGCAAGCGUUGUCCGGAAUCAUUGGGCGUAAAGAGCGUGUAGGCGGCCUGGUAAGUCCGCUGUGAAAGUCCAGGGCUCAACCCUGGAAUGCCGGUGGAAACUGUCAGGCUCGAGUCCGGAAGAGGCGAGUGGAAUUCCUGGUGUAGCGGUGAAAUGCGCAGAUAUCAGGAGGAACACCGGUGGCGAAGGCGGGUCUCUGGGCAACAACUGACGCUGAGGAGCGAAAGCGUGGGGAGCGAACAGG
rnacentral:rRNA from 1 species